GAUGAACGCUGACAGAAUGCUUAACACAUGCAAGUCGAUGGGGAAGUGGUGCUUGCACCAUGGCAACCAUGGCGGACGGGUGAGUAACGCGUAAGGGACUUACCUGCAGGACUGGGAUAACAGGGGGAAACUCCUGACAAGACCGGAUAAUGUCAUGGAGCUGCAUGGCUUUAUGAUGAAAGGAGACGCCUGCGGAGAGCCUUGCGUCCUAUUAGCUAGUUGGUGAGGUAAUGGCUCACCAAGGCGAAGAUAGGUAGCCGGCCUGAGAGGGUGGACGGCCACAAGGGGACUGAGAUACGGCCCUUACUCCUACGGGAUGCAGCAGUGGGGAAUAUUGGACAAUGGGGGCAACCCUGAUCCAGCAAUUCUGUGUGCACGAAGAAGGUUUUCGGAGUGUAAAGUGCUUUCAGCAGGGAUGAAGUAAGUGACGGUACCUGCAGAAGAAGCGACGGCUAAAUACGUG
rnacentral:rRNA from 1 species